rnacentral:SRP_RNA from 1 species
UGGCGGGCUAGACUGGGGGAGUAGCGAUCCCUUGUAACCAUAGCUUGUGGAGUUGAAGCUUGUGAAGAGGCAUCACAUUUUAGUGUUAGUCCUUUGCUGGACGUUGACGUGCUGUCCUGCUUGGUGGUUUGUUUGGAAACUGUGUCAGGACAGGAAUGUAGCAGCACUAACCAAGCAAUUUCAUGCUUGCAGGGUUGCGGCACCGAGGAAAGUGAAGGGUUGCUAAUAUUAGAAUGUAAUUCCCAUUUACAAGCGUGCCCGCUU